rnacentral:rRNA from 1 species
UACGAAGGGGGCUAGCGUUGCUCGGAAUGACUGGGCGUAAAGGGCGCGUAGGCGGUUUGUACAGUCAGAUGUGAAAUUCCUGGGCUCAACCUGGGGGCUGCAUUUGAUACGUGCGGACUUGAGUGAGGAAGAGGGUCGUGGAAUUCCCAGUGUAGAGGUGAAAUUCGUAGAUAUUGGGAAGAACACCGGUGGCGAAGGCGGCGCUCUGGACCGAGACGUGACGCUGAGGCGCGAAAGCGUGGGGAGCAAACAGG